UGAUGCGUCUUAAGUAGUGCUUUGUUAGGGUUCCGUAGCCAAAUGGCAAAAAACGGAACCCUUAUAGAUUCGUCAUGUCUGUCCGUCUGUCUGUGUAUGUCACAGCCACUUUUUUCCGAAACUAUAAGAACUAUACUGUUGAAACUUGGUAAGUAGAUGUAUUCUGUGAACCGCAGUAAGAUUUUCACACAAAAAUAGAAAAAAAUAAUAAAUUUUGGGGGUUCACCAUACUUAGAACUGAAACUCAAAAAUUUUUUUUUUCAUCAAACCCAUACGUGUGGGGUAUCUAUGGAUAGGUCUUCAAAAAUGAUAUUGAGGUUUCUAAUAUCAUUUUUUUCUAAACUGAAUAACACUUCCAAAGUGGUAAAAUGUGUCCCCCCCCCCACCCCCCUAAAACGUCUAAAAUAAGAGAAUAAUAAAACUAAAAAAAAUAUAUGAUGUACAUUACCAUGCAAACUUCCACCGAAAAUUGGUUUGAACGAGAUCUAGUAAGUAGUUUUUUUUAAUACGU